rnacentral:rRNA from 1 species
CGCGGCCUAUCAGCUUGUUGGUGGGGUGAUGGCCUACCAAGGCGACGACGGGUAGCCGGCCUGAGAGGGCGACCGGCCACACUGGGGCUGAGACACGGCCCAGACUCCUACGGGAGGCAGCAGUGGGGAAUCUUGCGCAAUGGGCGAAAGCCUGACGCAGCGACGCCGCGUGAGGGAUGACGGCCUUCGGGUUGUAAACCUCUUUCAGCCCUGACGAAGCGAAAGUGACGGUAGGUGGAGAAGAAGCACCGGCCAACUACGUGCCAGCAGCCGCGGUAAUACGUAGGGUGCGAGCGUUGUCCGGAAUUACUGGGCGUAAAGAGCUCGUAGGUGGUUUGUCGCGUUGUUCGUGAAAUCUCACGGCUUAACUGUGAGCGUGCGGGCGAUACGGGCAGACUGGAGUACUGCAGGGGAGACUGGAAUUCCUGGUGUAGCGGUGGAAUGCGCAGAUAUCAGGAGGAACACCGGUGGCGAAGGCGGGUCUCUGGGCAGUAACUGACGCUGAGGAGCGAAAGCGUGGGGAGCGAACAGGAUUAGAUACCCUGGUAGUCCACGCCGUAAACGGUGGGUACUAGGUGUGGGUUUCCUUCCUUGGGAUCCGUGCCGUAGCUAACGCAUUAAGUACCCCGCCUGGGGAGUACGG